rnacentral:rRNA from 1 species
CCCUGAUGCAGCCAUGCCGCGUGUGUGAAGAAGGCCUUCGGGUUGUAAAGCACUUUCAGUAGGGAGGAAGGUAGUGUAGUUAACACCUGCAUUAUUUGACGUUACCUACAGAAGAAGCACCGGCUAACUCCGUGCCAGCAGCCGCGGUAAUACGGAGGGUGCGAGCGUUAAUCGGAAUUACUGGGCGUAAAAGCGCAUGCAGGCGGCCUGUUAAGUCAGAUGUGAAAGCCCGGGGCUUAACCUCGGAAUUGCAUUUGAAACUGGCAGGCUAGAGUCUUGUAGAGGGGGUAGAAUUUCAGGUGUAGCGGUGAAAUGCGUAGAGAUCUGAAGGAAUACCAGUGGCGAAGGCGGCCCCCCUGGACAAAGACUGACGCUCAGAUGCGAAAGCGUGGGGAGCAAACAGGAUUAGAUACCCCUGGUAG